UGUGCUCGCUUCAGCUGCACAGUGCACUAAAGCUGGAGUGAUUCGUAGAAGAUUAGCGUGACCCCUGCACAAGCAUGACAUAGUUUUUUUUAUAAAAGCAAGGAUGGUAU